rnacentral:lncRNA from 1 species
GGAGGGUGGCAGCGACGCCCUUUGUGUGGGGAGCUGCUCUGGGACCCAGAUGAAGCAGGGGGAGUUUUAGGCAGCUUAAUGAGUUGUUGCUCCCUAACCACACACUUGUCAGCGGCGGUAUUAUUGUUGUGGUUUAGCGCCUGGCAGCGCCGCCUCCCCCCGCUGCGCUCCCGGCUGGCGGCUGCGGUUCCCAGUAACUCCCGCCUGCCCCUCCGCACCGCGUCCCAGAGCCUCGCCCCGGGCAGGCCUCCCGCUUCGUCUCCCCUUCUCCUCCCCGUCUCAGGGAGCCUGCAGCCAGGGAUCAGGCAGGCGAGAUGCUAAGGUCUAUAAUGUGCUCUAUGUAGGAGGCAAAAAGAAGAGGAUCUGAAUCCUUUGAGGUCCACUCUGGAGGCCAUCGUCCCUGCUGAGCCCCCCAGAGACACAGGGAGCUUCGAUCUCAGCAAUGGGACAUUGAUUUUUACAACUCCAGCAACAAGAGAACAGUGAGUAAGCCAACACUACCCACAUUUGAGAAACAGAAUUUGGAGUUAAAAUGGCAGAAUCAAUAUUCAAAUUCAUAGCUCUAUGUGUGUGUGCGUGCAUGUGUGUGUGUGUGUGUGUGAGAGAGAGAGAGAGAGAGAGAGAAGGAGGAAGGAGAGAGACAGGGAAAAGGGGAUUUUAUGACUAAGAGGAAAGAACAAACAACUCCUUGGAGGGAGGAGAUCUCAGUUGAAUAUGCCCCUAGUCUGUGCUGCUGGAAGGUUGGAAUAGAGGAUGGAGUGGCCAAGGCCAAGGGUGAUGAUGAUAUACUUUAGUGGCUCCAUCAACCCAGAGGUCUCCUGGGAAGAACCCACCCCCAACCCCACAUCCUCAAAACCCAUGUAUAGGGACUAGUGCAGUCUGUUGUCUGACCCAGGGAGUUGUCCAGGGGCUGGGCUGCAAUGGGUCAUGGCUUGGUAGAGUCACUAGCAUAGCAGCUACCACCCUGGGCCCCCAGAUCUGUCUUUCUAGGCCUGACUUCAAAGAGGUUCUAUAAGUAGAUUGAACUUACGUUUCAAGUAUUAUGAACCUCAUUAUGUUUCAAAUAUUAUUUUGUAAGGUGGUUGUCUAUAAUUUAGAAUGCCUUUUCUCAUAUAUGCAACACUCAACAAAUGUUUAUGGAUUGUCUACUCUAUCAGAUGCUGGGAAUAUAAUGGUGAAAAACAGAGGUCGCAUUCCCAGAUCCACCCAUAAAAACCUAUUUAAUCAAUAAUAAAGGCAAACUAUUCUUUGUCUGUGGAAGCAUUGCAUUCUGAGCUCCAUCUUGGAAUACCUGGAAAAUAGCAUUCCCUGCCUUGGCAAUAGCAAUUGAAACUCCCACCUGGUCCCUGAGCAACUGCAACCACAAGUAAGAAGUGUAGAAACCAAUAUUUGUUGAAUGCCUACUGUAUGUCUGGCUGUGCUAGCAUUUUACGUACAUCUAUGAGAUAGGCAUAAUUGCUCUUGUUUUACAGCUAAAGAAUCCAAUACUCAGAAGCUAAGCAAGUUCCCUAAGGUCACACAGUUACUAAGCUAGAAUUUGAGUCAAGGCUACAGAUAUCAAAGCCCAUGUUCUUUCUUCUAUUCAUCAACUGCCUUAUUUGGGGCUUUGGCCGGAAAGGAUGAGGCAGCAUGGGAAGGCACUGAGGGCACUCAGAGUGCUCUGGCCAUGGGGCGCCAUGCAGCCAUGGGGAAGUGAAGUACGCAGAUGUAUGUACAGAUCAUUUGCAGGCCCACAGUUCUGAAAUCAAGCUCUUAGUGCACCAGUUUCCGUGAUGUGGCUUGUUGCUGUUAUUCACCUGGAAUCCUUAGGAGUGACCAGGCAUUCAAGUCACCAAGACUCAGCUGGAACUAAGAACCCUUUUCUUCCACUGUGUUUUCUAGGGGGAGAUGCUGUAGGAGUCUUGCAGGAGCAAGCGAGUGUGAGUAAUAAAAGAGUUGCUUAUGUAAUAGGAAACCACACUGUCUAGGGCACACGGACUUCUCUGGGAUCCAGGGAGCCAGAAUUCCAAGGUUCUCUUCCAAGUUCACCCACACUUGGGUCUGUCUUUUUGAGCAAGUCACCUCACCUUCUCCAGUUUCCUGCUGUGCAGCCUUGACACAGCAAUGUUCUUUUUUACCCUUUUCCAUGAUGAGAUCCCCAAAGAAUGGCUGUGCAUAGCGACCGCUGGAGCUGCUUGGCAGUCUGAGCAACAUCCUUUGGUUUCUACCCCCAGCCGAUGCCCCUCUCACCUCCAGGUGCUCACUUUUCUAUGGCACCCCACUGGGGAGGUGACCCUCAUUUAUCUCUCAAAUGUCUUCAGCCUUCUUUGAUGUGCCUAAGACGAUUUCUCCCUGCAACCCCCCUGGGGCCCAGUGAGGUUAUCAUGGCUUCUAACUGUCUAGCUGUGAACAGAGUAGAGACAUCGUCAGCUUCUACUUAAAAUAAAAUGUCUCAGCCUGUAUGCCUGUUUUCCAUUUCCACCCCUUCCACUAAUGAUGUCUGUGUUCUGAGAACGUCACUUACCUCUCUGGACCACAGUUUUUUCCUUUGUAACAAAAGGGGAUGGAACAAGAUGUCUCUGGGAAUCUUGCAGUUUCCUGAUUUUGAACCCCUUACCUAGGAAUCUGAGUCACCUUGCACAUCCUUUCAUUUCAUCAUCUUAAAAAUGACAAGGAUCCACAGGUUUAUCGAAAUGGACACAUGGAAAUGUGUACACAAAUCCAGGCCCUUCCCAACCAUGCACCUAGUUAGACUCCUAGUGUCGGUUCUCUGAGAGGCAGUAUUCCAGCCACUGCAGUCAGGUGUCUUCAACUAGGGCUCUGCUCUCUCCCCCACCCUUGCACCUUCUCCCUGGUACACAGUCCUCUGCCCCAGUCCAGCCCAGUGAGAGUUUCUUCUGCACAGCAGGUGGCUGUCCACCAGCCAGUCCCUCUUGGAAGUUGGAGGGGCCAAGCUGUACGAGAAGACGUUUUCCUUACCCCAGCCACCCGCAUCCCAGCCUCAGGACAGUUUUGCUCUGCUCCACACGCCCUGCGUGGGUUGGCUCCUGUUGCUAGGAGAACCUGACCAUUUGCAUUUCCUGCUGUUUUUAUUUUAGAUUAGCAGCCGCACUGCUGCAGGAACACAGGGUAUUUUAAGAAAGACAAAAAAGGAAAGGGUGAGGGGAGAACCUAGCAUGGGUCCUCCUUCCCACAGGCCCCCAAAACACUCAGACCAAGGUGACAACCAUCGCAGACCCUGUCCCCACCCAGGCCUCUUGCCUCCUCUUCCCUGAACGGCACCAUCUCCCAGUCCUGACACUUUCACAAACACCUUCAGUCCAUACAGGAACAAAUGGCCCAGUCUUCUUACACAAAAAGCAGACAAAGGUCAAGUCUUCAAAUCAACCUAACACACACACAGGACCAGCUUCCCCAUGUUUAAAAAAAAACCCAACAAAUAGAAAUACUCCCAGAUUCCCAUGUGGAUUCUCCAACCCCAAAACACCUGAUCUCCAGAGAUGACUCCUGCUUUUUCCUUUGUCUUUGCCCUUUCUCUGCCCUAAAGAUAGAGAUGUGACUUUUCCUUCAAAGCCUUAGCACAAAUCAGUGUCGCCUUCCCAGAGCCCCUCAGUUCUAUUAAUCUCUCCCUCCCCUGUUCUGAAGAUCCCUGCACCUUAUCACGGUUACCGUUUUAUCAGAUCCGUAAUCUACACUUCUGUCUCCCCCACUAGACUGUGAACUCCUAGAAGCCAGUGUCUUCAUCAUUUUUUUUUGAAACAAAGUCUCACACUCUUGCUCAGGCUGGAGUGGAGUGGU